GAAGGAGGCGGAGGCAACUGAACAGGAGAUUGAUACCACCCGUCAGAAGUACAGACCUGUUGCAUACCGUGCUUCCAUUCUGUAUUUCACCAUUGCUGACAUGGCCAUUGUGGAUCCUAUGUAUCAGU
rnacentral:ribozyme from 1 species